rnacentral:ncRNA from 2 species
CGCCUCCUGCGCGACUGGCGAUGAGGGGCGGCACGACUGCCGGCCCCGAGGUGGAUCGACCACCGGGAAGCGCAGGCCGGCCACCCGGCCGGCGUCCGCCGUUCGCCUGGGCAGCCCUC